GAUUCUGCCCUACGGGGAAGGAUGAGAAGCUUCGACUAAGGUUCGACUCGAGCGCCAGCGAGAGAACGUUGCCGCAGGCAACGGCCCGAAGGGCGAGGAGCGAUAGCGACGAGUUAUCCUUCCCCCUCUAUUC
rnacentral:sRNA from 2 species